CUCAAAUAAUUUUUUUUAAUUGAUAAAAAAAUGAGCCACAAGUAAAAUCAUCCUCCGAUCUAGACAAGGCAUUAAUUGUAGAGUGCUUGAAUGAAAUAUUGUAAAACAAAGGGCUUCAAGGAAUCCAAGUUGAUGAGGCGAUGGACUGUCAGAUAAUAAUAAUAAGGUAAUAUAAGAUUAGAAUAAUCACUUCACUCAACCGGGUUGAAAAUAACAUUCUUAAUCCAAAAAAUUUUCAAGAUUAUUCUUAAUCCAAGGAUGCCCCUGUCGCAUCACAGUUGUGAUUCCCGAGCGUUAUACAGCAGAACCUUUAUACAGGACCCCCGAGGAGGGACAGAGCUAUGCUCGCAGGAGCAAAUCUGUCUUCUCUCAUAAGGGUUAGGACGGACAAGAGGUAAGUUUUUUAGUUGGUAGGUGACCGGGAAAGGAUUCUGUAGCUCAUGGAGUGCCGAUCGGCACGCGUUGGGCUCGGCCGGGUCGGACCGUUGGCAGUGAGAAUGUGAAUCCCCACAUUCGCAUCCGGGGCUCCUUGGUUAGGUCGUGGCCGGGGGCACGCGCUGUCGGUUCGGUUCAUGAGUCUGGAAAAUCUAAUCCCGGUCGAAUCCAACACACCCGGUGGCACGGGCCACCGGGCGUCUUUUGAAGACUUUUCUCAUCUCCGUAAUAAAAAA